CAUCGUGAUGAAUAAAACGGAUGUGAACAAUCUCUGAGUAUAUUCGAACGAAUAUACGUAGAUUAUAAACCCUGCCUUCCUACUGAAAGUGUUUGAAUUCUUUU
rnacentral:snoRNA from 1 species